CAAAAAAAUUUUGAGAGCAAAAAGGGAAAAGGCCUCUCGGCCGAAAGAGAAAGAGGGAAAAAAAAAAAACAGACUUGUGGAGCUCAAAUCUUUGGUUUAAAAGUCAUCUCUUGUGAAUUCCUACUAAGCCCGGAACCCUCUUCAACGUGGUAUAAACUUUGAGGCAAGAAAGUACUUUUUUUACAAAGAGGAGAAUUUGGAAAAGAUAUUGGAGAGCCCGAGACUUGAGUCGGGAUUUGUUUGGCGAGGGAUCGAGAUUUGGUAGUGAGCGAUCGAGGUACGGACACUCGUUUUGGUGAUCCUCCAGUAUAGGAUAUAUAUUCUGCCACUUGGAUUACUCCUUUUGAUCCGGAGCUCAUAUUUUUGGUACAUAUCUUCUGUUAUGCAUAUUCUCU